AACAAACCGAGAGGAGCGAGAAGGUGCUGAGACGUGGUUCUGGACGGGUUCCGAUAACAGUUUGGACCCGAGUUUGUUCCGUUUCACAAGACUUCAAAGCUUCUUUCCGUUUUUUUUUUUUUUMGGGUUUAAAAAGCGGGAAACGGGCGGAGAGAAUUAACCGUUUCAGAGGAACUCACGAUGGAUUUACGGGUUUGAUCUGAAACUCAACAUGUUGGAUAAAACAAGCGUGGAGCCUGAGCUGGAGGAGGACGGAGGGAAAACAGUGAAGGAGCAGUUCUGCAGCCGGUACCACUGCGGGGCCCUGCUCGGCAGCGGCGGGUUCGGUUCGGUGUUUUCCGGUCAGAGGCUCUCAGAUGGACUCCAGGUCGCCAUCAAGCAGAUCAGCAGCGACAGAGUCCUGCAGUGGACCCGACUGCCUGGCGAGCUCAGACCCGUUCCCAUGGAGAUCGCUCUGCUGCAGCGGCUGUCUGAGGUCGGAGGUCACAGCGGCGUGGUGCGGAUGCUGGACUGGUARGAGCUGGAGGGGCGGGGCUUCCUGCUGGUGAUGGAGCGUCCGCCGCAGAGCCAGGACCUGUUCGACUUCAUCACGGAGCGAGGAGCGCUCCCUGAACGCCUCGCGCUCAGGUUCUUCCGGCAGAUCGUGGAGGCGCUGCGGUUCGUCCACGCGCACGGCGUCGUGCACAGAGACAUUAAAGACGAGAACAUCGUGGUGGACACCAGGACGCUGGAGGUCAAGGUCAUCGACUUCGGGUCCGGAGCGCCGCUGAAGGACUCAGCGUAUAACGAGUUUGAAGGUACGCGGGUCUACAGUCCACCUGAGUGGGUCCAGAGCCGGUCCUACCACGCCGUCCCGCUCAGCGUCUGGUCUCUGGGGGUCCUGCUCUUCGACAUGGUCUGCGGAGACAUCCCGUUCGAACGCGACCAGGACAUCAUCCAGGCCACGCCCCUCUUCACCAGGCGCGUCUCUAAAGAUUGUCAAGCUCUGAUUCGCUGGUGUCUGUCGUACCGGCCGGAGGCCCGCCCCUCGCUGGAGGACAUCCUGUCUCACCCCUGGAUGGAGGGAGGUGAGGAAGAGGAGGAGGAAGAGGAGGAGUCCAGCUCUCUGCCCAGCGUGUCCCUGUGAGGACCUGAACUGAGUCAGAACCAGAACUAAAGUCUGCUGCCGGCUCCGUAUUUAUUCAUUAUUUAUUAGUUUCUGAUCAGGUUCUGCUGCUGAGGCUCCGCCCCCUGCAGCUGAGGCUCCGCCUCCUCCUGGUUGGACUGUUUACACUGGUUCAGGUGACCUUUGACCCCCAGUAAAAAACUGAAGAUGUUUGACGUUCUAAGUUCUACGUUCUUCACUCGGACCUCAGAUCUGUGGCUCCGUCAGGUUCUGAUCGGGUCAGGUUCUGAUCGGGUCAGGACCCUGGUUGUUACCUGGGUCGUGGACCUGUAUUCUACACUCAAAGUGGCCCCUGGGUCACUUGGUUCUGUUUAUUUACAUUAAAUAUAAAUGAUUGGA